rnacentral:rRNA from 1 species
UAGGGAAUCUUCCACAAUGGACGCAAGUCUGAUGGAGCAACGCCGCGUGAGUGAAGAAGGUCUUCGGAUCGUAAAGCUCUGUUGUUGGUGAAGAAGGAUAGAGGCAGUAACUGGUCUUUAUUUGACGGUAAUCAACCAGAAAGUCACGGCUAACUACGUGCCAGCAGCCGCGGUAAUACGUAGGUGGCAAGCGUUGUCCGGAUUUAUUGGGCGUAAAGCGAGCGCAGGCGGAAUGAUAAGUCUGAUGUGAAAGCCCACGGCUCAACCGUGGAACUGCAUCGGAAACUGUCAUUCUUGAGUGCAAAAGAGGAGAGUGGAACUCCAUGUGUAGCGGUGGAAUGCGUAGAUAUAUGGAAGAACACCAGUGGCGAAGGCGGCUCUCUGGUCUGCAACUGACGCUGAGGCUCGAAAGCAUGGGUAGCGAACAGGAUUAGAUACCCUGGUAGUCCAUGCCGUAAACGAUGAGCGCUAGGUGUUGGGGACUUUCCGGUCCUCAGUGCCGCAGCAAA